UAAUAUGAUUAAGAAAUCAAAAAAGAUUUCUGAGACAAACACGCUUCACAAUGUGCGGCAAAGAAACAUUGUUUAUGCAAAGGCACUUCGCAAUGUGUGCUCAAACAUUGCUUAUUCAAACACGCUUCACAAUGUGCGACAAAGAAACAUUGUUAUAAGAGCUAAUGUUUUAACAUUGGCU
rnacentral:ncRNA from 1 species